ensembl:lncRNA
UCUCCGGAGAUAGCACAGUACGCUGUGUCCAGCCCAGAGGUGAAAGCCAUCCAAAGCAGAGUAACUGUGCUUUGCGUCCAAGUUGAUACCUGUGGAGAGGAAAGGAAAGAGAGAGUGAAUAACACGAGGAGGAAUAGAGCGAACCCUGUACUUACAGUAUGCUGUGUCCAGCCCAGAGGUGAGAGCCAUUCAAAGCAAACUAACUGUGCUAUUGUGCCCAAGUUGAUACCUGUGGAGAGAAAAGGAGAGAGAGUGGGUAACACGAGGAGAGAUCGAGGAAACCUGUACUUACGCCGCUGCCUGUGGAGAGAAAAGGAAAGAGAGAGUGAGUAACACAAGGAGAAACAGAGGAAACCUGUACUUACAGUACGCUGUGUCCAGCCCAGAGGUGAAAGCCAUCCAAAGCAGAGUAACUGUGCUUUGUGCCCAAGUUGAUACCUGUGGAGAGAAAAGGAGAGAGAUUGAUACCUGUGGAGAGAAAAGGAGAGAGAGUGGGUAACACGAGGAGAGAUCGAGGAAACCUGUACUUACGCCGCUGCCUGUGGAGAAAGAGAAAGCGAGUGAGCACCCAAGGAACGAACUGUGUGAACCAGUACUUACUGUGAGCUGCAAUCAGCGAAGAGGUGAGAGCAAAACCAAGCCGAAUUAACUGUGCCUUUGUGUCCCAG